rnacentral:tRNA from 1 species
GCGCCCGUAGCUCAGUUAGGACAGAGCAACGGACUUCUAAUCCGUGGGCCGCAGGUUCGAAUCCUGCCGGGCGCGCCA